GGUUUGGUUUGUUAUAAACGUCAAAGAUGUACCUAUGACACUGCAUACCUAUAAAAUAAAAUAAUUUUUAAAAUAAAAAAUAAAUUAAUGAAACAUGUUAAAGGAUCCAGAAUUAUGGCCACGUUAAUAACGUUUGUAAAAACCCAAACCGUUUGAAAAUCGGUAGAAAAUUGAGCAAGUUAUGGUCAUUUAAAAGUACCUGCACCAUUAAACUCAAUGCUACGAGUGAGCGAGCGCCCUGUCGUAAGAUGGCCGCCAGGUGAUGCCGUUAGGGACUCCGCCUUGAGCCAUCUAGCCUUUAUAUACAUAUCUAUGGUUUUAACCAUAUGUGAGCUGACGUGUCUUCGGAUUGCAAAAACAAAAACACACAGAUGCACCAUAUAUAAUCCCAAUCUUCUUGUUUUAUCCGUCAAAACAUCUUUAUGUGCAUGUUUUAGCCAUAGGUUUUUAGCUGCAAGGUGGGCGGCUAUGCCUUUUUUUGUGCUUUAUUAUGUAUCAAAAUAAUUGUACAAUCAAAGCAUCAUGUAGCACCAUUGCAAGCAUAAAGGAUUACAAAUAACAUUUAAAGUAAAAGAAAUACACUUUAAGGAAAAAAGAAAAGAAAGAGGGUAUACAAUACAAAUCUUUCAAAAUGAGGAAUUUAACGCAUUGUAAUAUGCCAUAGUCUUGGUAGCCUUAGCGUUUGAAAGUCCUUUCAAAGUUUCAAAAUAAAUCUUCAUCUUAACCUUAAAUUUGGUAAUAUUGGGCUUAGUCCGAUAUUACCAUAUAAGAUAAUAAGAUUUAAGCGGCUAUGCCCUUAUAUGCAUAGACAUUAUAUACGUAGACACGUAUGCCAACAUAUGACCCGUCGCCAUGGACACAAGGGGUCGGAUAUCUAAAGUUAAAUAUUUUUAACUUACGCGUGAAAUGGUUGAUUUUAAAUAUAUAAAAUAUAUUAAGUAAACAACAACAGCCCAGGUUUAGUAAACAUUUUUUUAUUGAAACUAUAAAUAAAUAUUCUGCAUCCAUUUUAGGUGUGCCACUGUGGGUGGCUCCCGCACACCCGUGGCUACGCCCCUGCCGUGACCCAAAUCUCGUUCGCACAUCAUCGCGAUGUUUAUCAUCAAUUUACAAACCUCGCCAGUCGCCGCAUCUUUUUUCUUCACAUACAUCUCAUACUCCUCCAUCUACACGCUCCACAACAUUUAAACCAACAGCUCUUUUAAGAGCCAUCACCUGCAAAAGCUCUCCUCACUCACUCAGUUUUGACCAGUUAUGUCAGGAAGCUGAAACUAUUUCAAAGCAUCUUGAAAUGAAAGCUGACAAUGCUGAACUUGAAGCAGCUACCAGAGAGGCUGAAGAAAUUCUACAAAUGUUCAAUCCUCCACUGCUGAAAAAGAAGACCAAACGAGCGAUUUCCUGGACUCAACAGACACAGUGAACUUUGCACUGCAUUUCAAAGCCAGCUCCUCAGCCGCAACACUGAAAACCAGAGUUGAAGUCAAUGUACUGCUGAGAAAGUGCAAGAUCUGUUUAACCAAAAAUAUAAGGAUGCCGGAGGUACUGGAAGGCUCCCCUACCAAUCCCUGGUAAAUCAAGGCAUGACAGUUAAAGUUGCAGGACUGCCCAACAGCCUCAAAAAGUCAUCCUAUUAUGAAAGGAAGCAGUUGGAGGCCAUUUUGCAAGCUGCUGAGGAGAUUUCAUUUGAAAUCAAGCUGGAAGAAAAGUCCUCAGAAACAGCCACUACUGUAGCUAUCGUGAUGACUGCAGAUUAAGAUGGAGGCCAUUUGUGCUGUGUCUGCCGCGUCCUUUUCGAUGACAGGAAGAAGAAUGCUUCAAAGAAGUGGCGUUCAUGGUCACAGUGUGCCAAUCAUGGUCACACCCUGCAUCUCAAGACACCAUACAAACAGCCUGUAGCGCUGCAUCAGUGAUAGGAAACAUGCUGGUUACACAAGAUGUUUUAUGUUUUAACUUUGAGUUGUUUUUACUUUGUUCAUGACCCCAUCCCUACAAACACAGACACAUAUUUUUUUUACUUUUAUGUAUUGGGUGCAAUUUAAUAUUUUUCAUGCAAAUGUAUUGUAAUGAUUACACUUAUAAGAAUAAAACAGAUUUUUAAUUCACUCUAAUUUGUAUUUAUUGUUGUCAUUUGUUGGCACCAUAAGUGUGGUCCCUUUACCUGGGACAUGUGGGGACCAAUUAAUAUCUAUUGUACUGAAUUUAGGCCACAGGUUGUAAAUGAUAAGUAGCCUAUUGUUUCAUCUUUUAUCAAUGCUUCGGUAUGGUUGGGUGUUGGCAAGGACCUCACCAUACUUUUCAAUACAGUGAGUCAAAGUUUGAUUUAAUGUUAUGAUUAA